rnacentral:rRNA from 1 species
CCUCGGGAGGCAGCAGUGGGGGAUAUUGCACAAUGGGGGGAACCCUGAUGCAGCGACGCCGCGUGGGUGAAGGAGUGCUUCGGCAUGUAAAGCCCUAUCGGCAGGGAAGAAGCAAGACGGUACCUGACUAAGAAGCCACGGCUAACUACGUGCCAGGAGCCGCGGUAAUACGUAGGGGGCGAGCGUUAUACGGAUUCACUGGGUGUAAAGGGAGCGUAGACGGCCAUGCAAGUCAGGUGUGAAAGCCCGGGGCCCAACCCCGGGAUUGCCUUUGGAACUGGAUGUCUGGAGUGCGGGAGGGGCAGGCGGAAUUCGUGGUGUAGCGGUGAAAUGCGUAGAUAUCAGGGGGAACACCGGCGGCGAAGGCGGCCUGCUGGACCGCGACUGACGUUGAGGCUCGAAAGCGUGGGGAGCGAACAGGAUUAGAUACCCGGGUAGUC